AGAGUUCGAUCAUGGCUCAGGAUGAACGCUAGCUACAGGCUUAACACAUGCAAGUCGAGGGGCAGCAUUAAGUUUGCUUGCUAACUUAGAUGGCGACCGGCGCACGGGUGAGUAACGCGUAUCCAACCUUCCCCCUGCUCAGGGAUAGCCCGCUGAAAGGCGGAUUAACACCUGAUAGCUUCACUAGAUGGCAUCUGACGGUGAAUAAAGAUAACGGCGAGGGAUGGGGAUGCGUCUGAUUAGCUUGUUGGCGGGGUAACGGCCCACCAAGGCGACGAUCAGUAGGGGUUCUGAGAGGAAGGUCCCCCACAUUGGAACUGAGACACGGUCCAAACUCCUACGGGAGGCAGCAGUGAGGAAUAUUGGUCAAUGGGCGGAAGCCUGAACCAGCCAAGUAGCGUGCAGGAAGACGGCCCUAUGGGUUGUAAACUGCUUUUGUACGGGAAUAAAGUGACCUACGUGUAGGUUUUUGCAUGUACCGUAAGAAUAAGGACCGGCUAAUUCCGUGCCAGCAGCCGCGGUAAUACGGAAGGUCCGGGCGUUAUCCGGAUUUAUUGGGUUUAAAGGGAGCGUAGGCCGUUUCUUAAGCGUGUUGUGAAAUGUAGGCGCCCAACGUCUGCACUGCAGCGCGAACUGGGGAACUUGAGUACGCGGGAAGUAGGCGGAAUUCGUCGUGUAGCGGUGAAAUGCUUAGAUAUGACGAAGAACUCCGAUUGGGAAGCCAGCCUGCUGUAGCGCCACUGACGCUGAUGCUCGAAAGCGUGGGUAUCGAACGGGAUUAGAUACCCUGGUAGUCCACGCGGUAAACGAUGG
rnacentral:rRNA from 1 species